rnacentral:lncRNA from 1 species
CCCAUCUAAAUCUACCCACUGACAGCUUACAGCCAUUCCCUGUGCCCUGUCCCUCCAUCCUUGUCCCCAGUCCCUCUGCAGCUCUCCUGGAGCCCCUUCAGGCCCUGGAAGGGGCUCUGAGCUCUCCCCAGAGCCUUCUCCUCUUCAUGCUGAACAAUCCCAAUUCCAUCACUUGUCAUCACCCAGGUUCUGUGCAGAGAUUUCCUCCACCACCACCACGUGCAGCUGAGGGAGAAGCUCCCAAGCACUCUGUGCAGCCUUUGAGGACCGUGAUUUAGAGAGUGACAUCCAAAGAUUUGCAAUGAACAGCUUUUAUCUGUGUGUGUUUGUGUGAGAAGCAGCGAGGCGGGAAAGGAAGCACAGCCAGAGCUCUUCCACCCACCCAGGACAGGAUGGCCAUGGAUCCUCUGCUCUGGAACUCUCCCUGUCACCUCCCAGGGACAUCUGCUGGGUCUGCAAAAGGAGGAACUGGGGUCUCCACACUGCAACAGGCUGGGAGCAAGUCCAACAGGCACAGUGUGGUCAAUGACAAGGCAUCCUGAGCCUGGCUUGUUCCAAUCAACUUCUGCAGGAGCGGGAUCGCCAAGGGAUCGCGGGAGUCGGGAACAGCGUUUAGCACUUUGCUGACCUUGACUCCACCUUUUCAAAACUCCUUCUGGAACCAAGAUUUUUUCCAGCCAUUUUCAAGUGAUUUCUUCCACUUCCUCCAGAGACUGAAACACUUGAUUGACCUGUGAUGUUCAGUGAAAUUCUUGCACUGGAAAUGAAAAAAAUGUUGGAAACCCUAGACAUGAAAAUGCUCAUGAACUUUAAAAAAAAAAAAAAAAGUCAAAAAAGUUUUCAACAUAUCAUCUGUCCAGGGUGUUUAACAACAGGUAUUUGGGGUUUCUUUUCAUUGUGAAGGAAGAUUUAGGAGCAAACAUGAAAAAUAGAUAUUUAAUUUUAAAUGUAUGAUUUUUACCUGUAUUUUAGCCUUGUAUAUAACACUCUGUCUCACUUGAGAGUUGCUAAUAACCAGGAAAUGAUUACUGAGAACUUCUGAAAUGACAUCGAGUAAAAAAUUAAAGGAUGUGAGGAGACUUUUUUUUAAGAAAUAA